rnacentral:rRNA from 1 species
UACGGAGGGUGCAAGCGUUAAUCGGAAUUACUGGGCGUAAAGCGCACGCAGGUGGCUGAGUCAGUCGAUUGUGAAAGCCCUGGGCUUAACCUGGGGAAUUGCAGUCGAUACUACUCAGCUAGAGUAUGGGAGAGGGUAGUGGAAUUCCCGGUGUAGCGGUGAAAUGCGUAGAUAUCGGGGAGGAACAUCAGUGGCGAAGGCGGCAUCCUGGACCAUUACUGACGCUGAGGCGCGAAAGCUAGGGGAGCAAACGGGAGUUAGA